rnacentral:rRNA from 1 species
UACGUAGGGACCGAGCGUUGUCCGGAAUCAUUGGGCGUAAAGAGCGUGUAGGCGGCCACUUAAGUCCUGCGUGAAAUCUUGCGGCUCAACCGCAAGCGGUCGUGGGAAACUGGGUGGCUAGAGUGCGGGAGAGGAGAGUGGAAUUCCUGGUGUAGCGGUGGAAUGCGCAGAUAUCAGGAAGAACACCCGUGGCGAGGGCGGCUCUCUGGAACGCAACUGACGCUGAGACGCGAAAGCGUGGGGAGCAAACAGG